rnacentral:rRNA from 1 species
UGGGGAAUAUUGCACAAUGGGCGAAAGCCUGAUGCAGCGACGCCGCGUGAGGGAUGACGGCCUUCGGGUUGUAAACCUCUUUCAGCAGGGAAGAAGCGAAAGUGACGGUACCUGCAGAAGAAGCGCCGGCUAACUACGUGCCAGCAGCCGCGGUAAUACGUAGGGCGCAAGCGUUGUCCGGAAUUAUUGGGCGUAAAGAGCUCGUAGGCGGUUAGUCGCGUCUGCUGUGAAAACUCGAGGCUCAACCUCGGGCUUGCAGUGGGUACGGGCUGACUAGAGUGCGGUAGGGGUGACUGGAAUUCCUGGUGUAGCGGUGGAAUGCGCAGAUAUCAGGAGGAACACCGAUGGCGAAGGCAGGUCACUGGGCCGCAACUGACGCUGAGGAGCGAAAGCAUGGGGAGCGAACAGGAUUAGAUAGCCCUGGUAGUCCAUGCCGUAAACGUUGGGCACUAGGUGUGGGUCCAUUCCACGGAUUCCGUGCCGCAGCAAAGCGCAUUAAGUGCCCCGCCUGGGGAGUACGGCCGCGAGGCUAAAACUCAAAGGAAUUG